rnacentral:misc_RNA from 1 species
AUUUUGGGUUAAAUCCUUGGAAAUUAAUCCUAAAAUUAAUCUUCUUCCAAUACUGCGUUAGAUAUGCUAAAGGUAGGUGUAAGAUAUCAUCAUCUUUAUUAUCCUAUAAUUGUCUUGCAUCAUCAAAUUACUUUUAUAGUCACCUCAUCUGUUACUAUGAGCAAAUUGUAUAUACUUCUUGUUUAGGACACCAAAAACAAUGUCAUUACUAAGGCACAUAAAGAUUGAAGUUUAAGUAGAUCAAACUCCAAUGUAAGACCAUUUGAUUGAAUUUUUCUUAUCUUAGCAAGGCCUUGACAAGUAAAUAAGGGUUUCUGCUCUUGAUGUCAAAUAUUUUUACUUACACCUAACUUAGAAUGACGGGGGAAAUGGGUUGAAACUACACCACUGAACAAAUUUGCAUUAAGUGUAUAUUUUGUUCUAUCAAAGGAAAAAGGUUUCAUUAGGUUGAUUAAUCAGAUACAAUGACAAAUCGAUCUUUGAAAUGAUAGUCGUCAUUUUUAAUAUAGUUAAGAGUCUUAUUCUGUGUGUUGGACUUUCUUUUCAUAUCACAUUAUGUUAGUUCAUUUGUUGAAAGUAUGUAAACAGUAGGCUGCACUAAUUUGGUGCUUGAUGUAAUUCAUUUAGAUGAUCUGUGAGGGUAUUUCAACUGUCAUUAGUUAUUAUGCUUGUUUAAAUUUCAAAUUUGGAGAUAACAUGUGGUAGGUGAUAUGCAGAUGCCAUAAUAUCAUCUUGAGAACAAAAUUUCACAAAUUAACAUCCAACUAUAUCUUCUACUUACAAACUAACUGUGUUGAAUUUGUUAUUCAUUUAGUGUCAUCUAUUAUUAGUUCUCCUUUGGGUUUACAAAGCAGCUAUUUGUUUUGUGAGUUCUUAUUUUUUCUUCUUUCCAGGAGGCUAGAAAUGUCACUAAGACGACGUGAUGUUGAGCAAUGGAUGAGCCAUCGACGCUUGCCACAAGAACUUAGAAGGUAUGCCAUUUUAGUCUCCACGUUUUUCGCACGGCCAUAUGAAAAGAGACAUCAUUUUCUUAUUAUAAUGAAACAUUUACUUGAAAUGUUACAACAAUCCCAAACAAGUUCUUACGAAGAAAAUAGUGGAUUGUGAUAAAGUUAGGAAAACAAAUUCUCCUCAACAGAAUUGUAAUUUAUAUAAAAAUUCUGAGGGAAAUUGUUACUAAAAAAUAUCACUCCAGCUAAUUCUUCUCUCAAUACAUUGACAAACAUAGUUACCAGAUUCACUGCAACCCCCUGAGUUCUGCGAUUUGAUUUGUGCAUUCCAAUUCGAGGAACAUGGUGUCCCAAUUUGCUGGGCACGUGAUCCGAGUCGCCAAAAUGAGCGAACCAUAAAUCCUCAAAAAUUACAUGCAAAGAUGGUGAGGAUUUAAGAAGAAGAAAAAGAAGGAGCCAAGAAGAAGAUGAAGAAGUGGCUAAUCAUCAAAAAUUAUAGUUAAAGAUGCAGGAUCUAGAGAGCAGUAGAAGCCCAAAAGAAGAACACGAACAACUGAAGACGACGUAAAAAUCAAGAAAAAAAAAACGUAAAGAGAGAAGUCUAUAAAUGACUGACCUAGUUAUUAAACCUUUAAACUACAGCUAGCAUGUUUUA